rnacentral:misc_RNA from 1 species
UACGUAGAUCCUUCUUUUCCGAGGCAACGGCAGUAUGGCCUUAGCAGCCGAAGCGACGUGGUCGUCGGGAGCGACAUCGAUGGUAGCGCGUACAUCCUUUGAGAAAACAUAGAAGAAGCUACCGAGGAGAGAGAGACAUCGAUAUAUUGGGGCUCUAAAUCAGUCAUUAAGGUGCCUAGUUCAUCGCAGUAUUCAUUCAACUUUCAACCAUGAAGGGCAGGCGUUACAUGGCAUCGCACAAUUCGUUUGCAGGUAUGGAAUAAGUAUCAGUAUGAUAUAAGUUAGGGUAUAUUAUAAAAAUAUAUUCAAUGUAAUAUAUUGUAAAAUUACAUUGGCAGUAAUAUAUUA